UACGGGGGGAGCAAGCGUUGUUCGGAUUUACUGGGCGUAAAGGGCGCGUAGGCGGUCGUGACAAGUCACUUGUGAAAUCUCCGGGCUUAACUCGGAACGGUCAAGUGAUACUGUCGGACUAGAGUACAGAAGGGGCAACUGGGAAUUCUCGGUGUAGCGGUGAAAAUGCGUAGAUAUCGAGAGGAACACCUGCGGCGAAGGCGGGUUGCUGGGCUGAUACUGACGCUGAGGCGCGAAAGCCAGGGGAGCGAACGGG
rnacentral:rRNA from 1 species